CAGCAGCCGCGGUAAUACGAAGGGGGCUAGCGUUGUUCGGAAUUACUGGGCGUAAGGCGCACGUAGGCGGAUAUUUAAGUCAGGGGUGAAAUCCCGCAGCUCAACUGCGGAACUGCCUUUGAUACUGGGUAUCUUGAGUAUGGAAGAGGUUAGUGGAAUUGCGACUGUAGAGGUGAAAUUCGUAGAUAUUCGCAGGAACACCAGUGGCGAAGGCGGCUAACUGGUCCAUAACUGACGCUGAGGUGCGAAAGCGUGGGGAGCAAACAGGAUUAGAUACCCCCGUAGUCCCUGUCUCUUAUAC
rnacentral:rRNA from 1 species